rnacentral:rRNA from 1 species
GACGAACUGUCCUAACGUUGUUCGGAAUCACUGGGCUUAAAGGGCGCGUAGGCGGUCCGACAAGUCAGGGGUGAAAUCCUGCAGCUUAACUGCAGAAGUGCCUUUGAUACUGUCGGUCUUUGAGGGAGAUAGGGGUGUGCGGAACUCACAGUGGAGCGGUGAAAUGCGUUGAUAUUGUGAGGAACGCCGGAGGCGAAAGCGGCGCACUGGAUCUCUUCUGACGCUGAGGCGCGAAAGCUAGGGGAGCAAACGGGG